rnacentral:rRNA from 1 species
AUUGAACGCUGGCGGCAGGCCUAACACAUGCAAGUCGAACGAGCGGCGGAGGGGGGAGUAAUGUCUGGGAAACUGCCUGAGGGAGGGGGAGAACUACUGGAAACGGUAGCUAAUACCGCAUACCAUCAGAUGUGCCCAGAUGGGAUUAGCUAGUAGGUGGGGGAACGGCUCACCUAGGCGACGAUCCCGAGCUGGUCUGUGAGGAGGACCAGCCACACGGGAACUGAGACACGGUCCAGACUCCUACGGGAGGCAGCAGUGGGGAAUAUUGCACAAUGGGCGCAAGCCUGAUGCAGCCAUGCCGCGGGUGUGAAGAAGGCCUUCGGGUUGUACAGCACUUUCAGCGGGGAGGCGUUACCCGCAGAAGAAGCACCGGCUAACUCCGUGCCAGCAGCCGCGGUAAUAC